CCGCAAGGUUAAAACUCAAAUGAAUUGACGGGGACCCGCACAAGUAGUGGAGCAUGUGGUUUAUUCGAAGAUACGCGCAGAACCUUACCAACACUUGACAUGUUCGUCGCGACUCUAAGAGAUUAGAGUUUUCGGUUCGGCCGGACGAAACACAGGUGCUGCAUGGCUGUCGUCAGCUCGUGUCGUGAGAUGUUGGGUUAAGUCCCGCAACGAGCGCAACCCUCACUUUUAGUUGCCAUCAUUUAGUUGGGCACUCUGAAAGAACUGCCAGUGAUAAGCUGGAGGAAGGUGGGGAUGACGUCAAGUCCUCAUGGCCCUUAUGUGUUGGGCUACACACGUGCUACAAUGGCAUUUACAAUAGGAAGCAAGAUGGCGACGUCAAGCAAAUCCUAAAAAAAUGCCUCAGUUCGGAUUGUACUCUGCAACUCGAGUACAUGAAGCUGGAAUUACUAGUAAUCGCGGAUCAGCGCGCCGCGGUGAAUGCGUUCCCGGGUCUUGUACACACCGCCCGUCACACCAUGGGAGUUGGUUCGUACCUUAAGGCAAAACUUAAAACUUUUGACCACGGUAUAGUCAGCGACUGGGGUGAAGUCGUAACAAGGUA
rnacentral:rRNA from 1 species